CAAAACAAACUUAUUCUCCACUUCUAGAUUCUCACAUCAUUUCACUUGACUUUCACUUUCACUCAUCAAACUUCACUCCAUAAAAUUUAUCUACUUUUUUCAUAUGAAAGAGUGAAAUAAAUAAAAAAUGCCAAUGAACAAACCACCGGCAAUUCCACCGCCGAUGAUCGGAAAGAUCGGUCCAUAUACUGUCUUUGUUACUCCACCGGUUCAAUCAUCAGUUGAGACAUCUCCUCCGGUUCACCCACCUCCACUAGUUCUUCCUCCCCCGGUUCAGUACUCCAACUCCGGUUCAUCUUACAACUCCAAGUUUGGGUUCUUUUGGGAUACUGUCACUAAAGUUCAAAAUGUACAUUCAAGUUUGGAUGAUUAUGUGGCCUGUUGGUUUGGGUUGAACCAAUCGAAAUAUCAAUGGGCGUUGGAUGACUAUUACCAAAAGAAGGGGGUGGUUAGAGCACUUGGUUCAACUGAUGGUUUGACAUAUUUCAAAAGAUUUGAAGGAGGGUCAAUCCCCAUUUCUACCUCCAACAUCUUUACCACAUUUCAAAAGAUCGUAGUGACCACACAAGAAAACUACCAUUAAGAUUCUCUUUGCUUCUUGUUUGCUCCCCUUUUCAAUACCACACCCAGACCAGGUUGAUGCAAAACAUAAAGAUAUAUCCACCAAAGCACAAAAUAUGUAAAAUUCUUGUUUGGCAGGAUGUUGUUGAGCAACGCACCUUCUGGACCAUCUUUUUGAUUAUGUCUAUAUGUUAAAACAUCACUUAAAAUAUGAUCAGAUCAGAUUAAAAAUUGGUGGAUAUCAACCUGAAAUUUUUGCUACUUUCAUAUUAAUAGGCUCGACAAUCUUAUCUGACGAAUUUGGAGAUUGUAACCAAUUUUUAUACAAAAUGUCUUUCUUACCAAUGCCAAAAUAAGCAGGCUAAUUAUCUUCUUUUGUAGUAUUUGACUUAUAUUGCAUAUGGACUCCUGUAAAUGAUAACUGAAGUUAUCUAA